GCGCAGCACUACGGGCGCUUGUGUCAGUCCGUUUCCCUCCUUCAUCCAACUGCUUCCUCUCGAAGUAGAGAUGAGCGAGUCCGAAACGCCGACAACACAAUGCUGAGAAUGUACCGUCAAAACUCGAUCAAGUUAAUGCUUGCGUGGGAAACGUGCUGCCAACCUCCC
rnacentral:ncRNA from 1 species